GACGAACGCUGGCGGCGUGCCUAACACAUGCAAGUCGAACGGAAAGGCCCUGCGCUUGUGGGGUGCUCGAUUGGCGAACGGGUGUGUAACACGCGUGUAUCCUGCCCUUAUCUUUCGGAUAACUCCAGGAAACUGGGGCUAAUACCGGAUAUAAUCUCCUGCUGCAUGUGGGGCGAUGGAAAGUUUCGGCGGUUGUGGAUAGUCUCGCAGCUUAUGCGCUGGUUGGGCGGGUAGGGGUUUUCCAAGCCUUUGACGGGUAGCCGGCGUGGGAGGGGGACCGGGCACAUGGGGACUGAGAGAGGCCGCAGACUCCUACGUGCGGCAGCAGUGGGGAGUCUUGCGCAAUGGGCGGGAGUGUGAUGCGGCAAUGCCGCGUGCGGGAUGACGGGCUUCGGGUUAUGAACAGCUUUCGCCUGUGACGAAGCGUGAGUGACGGUAAUGAGUAAAGAAGCACCGGCUAACUACGUG
rnacentral:rRNA from 1 species